rnacentral:misc_RNA from 1 species
GAUGAAGAACGUAGCGAAAUGCGAUAAGUAAUGUGAAUUGCAGAAUUCAGUGAAUCAUCGAAUCUUUGAACGCACCUUGCGCCCUUUGGCUAUUCCGAAGGGCAUGCCUGUUUGAGUAUCGUGAACACCUCAACUCUCAUGGUUUGCCAUGAUGAGCUUGGACUUUGGGGGUUUUGCUGGCCUUUGGUCGGCUCCUCUCAAACGGAUCAGCUUUCCAGUGUUUGGUGGCGUCACGGGUGUGAUAACUAUCUACGCCUGUGGUUUUCUGCCAGAUAACCUUCAGCGAUGGAGGUUCGCUGGGGCUCAUAAAUGUCUCUCUUCAGUGGAGACAGCUUUUUGGACGUUUGAUCUCAAAUCAGGUAGGACUACCCGCUGAACUUAAGCAUAUCAAAAGCGGAGGA